UUCUCAAUUUAUAUUCAAAAAAUUAGAAAUUGAUACAUAGGCUAGGCUCUAUUACUUGUAUUUACUUGUAAUAGAACUUAUGCUUGAUAGAAAAAUUAUUAUAGUAUUCUAUAUAGUUGACAAAUGAGAUGAAACUGAGUUCAUUAAAGACGAAAAAUGGCAAAAAAAAAGCAUUCAUUCCCCUUCUAUGUCUUACAUCUAUAGUCUUUUUGCCCUGGUGCAUCUCUUUUACAUUUAAGAAAAGUCUGGAAUCUUGGAUUACUAAUUGGUGGAAUACGAAACAAUCCGAAAUUUUCUUGAAUAUUAUUCAAGAAAAAACGAUUUUAAAGAAAUUGAUAGAGUUCGAGGAACUGUUCCUCUUGGAUGAAAUGCUAAAGGAAUAUCCGGAAACACAUUUUCAAAAUCUUCGUAUGGAAAUCUACAAAGAAACCAUCCAAUUGAUCGAGACGAACAACCAAGACCGUAUCCAUACGAUUUUACAUUUCUGUACAAAUAUAAUAUGUUUCCUUAUUCUAAGUGGUUAUUCUAUUAGGGGUAAUCAAGAACUCAUUAUUCUUAACUCUUGGGUUCAAGAAUUUCUAUAUAACUUAAGUGAUACAAUAAAAGCUUUUUCGAUCCUUUUAUUAACUGAUUUAUGUAUAGGAUUCCAUUCAACUCAUGGUUGGGAACUAAUCAUUGGGUCUGUCUAUAAAGAUUUUGGAUUUACUCAGAAUAAUCAAAUUAUAUCUGGUCUUGUUUCCACUUUUCCAGUCAUUUUAGAUACAAUUUUAAAAUACUGGAUUUUCCGUUAUUUAAAUCGUGUAUCUCCGUCACUUGUAGUGAUUUAUCAUUCAAUGAAUGACUGAAAAAACGAUCCACUGAUCCAAUUAGAAAAUUUGUUUUUUUGUAUCUAAACAUUAAAAAAUUGACUUAUUCUUUUUCGUUCUACUCGUAUUCUUCCUAUAUUCUAGGAAAAUCAUUUGAGUAAAUAGCAGAAUAAUGGAUAGGGAACUAUGCCAGUAACCUACCUAAUCUUAUUGUAGAAAUUUUCAGGAUGAAUGAUUGGACCAUGCAAACUAGAAAUGCUUUUUCUUGGAUAAAGGAAGAGAUUACCCGAUCCAUUUCCGUAUUGCUCAUGAUAUAUAUAAUAACU